rnacentral:sRNA from 2 species
UCAAAAAAUAGGCCGAAUCUCCGGCAGAACCGGAGUACGGGGGAUCAAAUAACAUGGGGUGAAUCCGCAAACCUUCCUCGGAGUUGCUCAAAGGUGCGGUAGGGUGCCCUUCAACCCGAACCCGUCAACUAACCUCGAAGGCCAGCAGAGGGGGAAAAA